rnacentral:lncRNA from 1 species
GGUGAAUAGGUUUUCGGAUCGUCGGAUUUCACAGAAAAAAUUGUCCGGAUUUCGGAUCUGGCGAAUAUUUUACACGGAUUUGCGGAUCUUAUUAAUACAGCGGAUUGCGGAUUUAUCUAAUAUUUUGGCUCGGAUUGUGGAUUUAGCUUGCAAUUUAGUUCGGAUCCUGGAUUGUGACUUCAUAGUAGAGCUUUCAGCGGAUUCAAAUUUAGACAAGACCAUUGUCGGAUCGCGGAUUUUGCUUCAAAUUUG